UACGAAGGGGGCUAGCGUUGUUCGGAAUUACUGGGCGUAAAGGGCGCGUAGGCGGUGUGUCAAGUCAGGCGUGAAAGCCCCGGGCUCAACCUGGGAACAGCGCUUGAGACUGGCACGCUCGAGUUCGGGAGAGGAUGGUGGAAUUCCGAGUGUAGAGGUGAAAUUCGUAGAUAUUCGGAAGAACACCAGUGGCGAAGGCGACUUACUGGACACAUAUUGACGCUGAGGUGCGAAAGCGUGGGGAGCAAACAGG
rnacentral:rRNA from 1 species